rnacentral:misc_RNA from 1 species
AAGUCGUAACAAGGUCUCCGUUGGUGAACCAGCGGAGGGAUCAUUACCGAGUACUAUAACUCAUAACCCUUUGUGAACCUUCAUACCUGUUGCUUCGGCGGCGCGCCUCUCGGGGCGUGCCCGCCGGCAUUAUCAGAAUCUCUGUUCGAACCCGACGAUACUUCUGAGUGUUCUAAGCGAACUGUUAAAACUUUCAACAACGGAUCUCUUGGCUCCA